UACAGAGGGUGCGAGCGUUGUCCGGAAUCACUGGGCGUAAAGGGCGCGUAGGCGGCUUGAUAAGCGUGCGGUGAAAGCCCGGGGCUCAACCCCGGGUCGGCCGUGCGAACUGUCGAGCUGGAGCACUGUAGAGGCAGGUGGAAUUCCGGGUGUAGCGGUGGAAUGCGUAGAGAUCCGGAAGAACACCGGUGGCGAAGGCGGCCUGCUGGGCAGUGGCUGACGCUGAGGCGCGACGAGCGUGGGGAGCAAACAGGAUAGA
rnacentral:rRNA from 1 species